AGAGCGAACGCUGGCGGCAGGCUUAACACAUGCAAGUCGAGCGGGCGUAGCAAUACGUCAGCGGCAGACGGGUGAGUAACGCGUGGGAACAUACCUUUUGGUUCGGAACAACACAGGGAAACUUGUGCUAAUACCGGAUAAGCCCUUACGGGGAAAGAUUUAUCGCCGAAAGAUUGGCCCGCGUCUGAUUAGCUAGUUGGUGAGGUAACGGCUCACCAAGGCGACGAUCAGUAGCUGGUCUGAGAGGAUGAUCAGCCACACUGGGAUUGAGAACGGCCCAGACUCCGUACGGGGGCAGCAGUGAGGAAUUUCGUCAAUGGGGAAACCCUGAACGAGCAACGCCGCGUGCAGGAAGAAGGUUUUCGGAUCGUAAACUGCUUUUCUCUGGGACGAGAACGGACGGUACCAGAGGAAUCAGCCCCGGCUAACUACGCGCCAGCAGCCGC
rnacentral:rRNA from 1 species